rnacentral:rRNA from 1 species
GACGAACGCUGGCGGCAGGCUUAACACAUGCAAGUCGAGCGGGGGAAGGUAGCUUGCUACCGGACCUAGCGGCGGACGGGUGAGUAAUGCUUAGGAAUCUGCCUAUUAGUGGGGGACAACAUCUCGAAAGGGAUGCUAAUACCGCAUACGUCCUACGGGAGAAAGCAGGGGAUCUUCGGACCUUGCGCUAAUAGAUGAGCCUAAGUCGGAUUAGCUAGUUGGUGGGGUAAAGGCCUACCAAGGCGACGAUCUGUAGCGGGUCUGAGAGGAUGAUCCGCCACACGGGGACGGAGACACGGACCAGACUCCUACGGGAGGCAGCAGUGGGGAAUAUUGGACAAUGGGGGGAACCCUGAUCCAGCCAUGCCGCGUGUGUGAAGAAGGCCUUAUGGUUGUAAAGCACUUUAAGCGAGGAGGAGGCUACUCUAGUUAAUACCUAGGGAUAGUGGACGUUACUCGCAGAAUAAGCACCGGCUAACUCUGUGCCAGCAGCCGCCGUAA